UGAGAAACAGGCUCCCAAAGGUCAGCCGGCAUGUAGCAGAGUACAACCCUCAGAGUUUGAGGGAACCCAGGCUUAGAGGGGAAAGGUAUAGUCCAAGGUCCGCAGAAGCAGAACGUGAAUCCAGCUCCACUGGCACCAAAGCCUGCACUUCAUCCUGGAAAACCUCUCUAAUGAACAGGCCAGCUAAGAACUGAUGCAUUGGCCUAAUGAAGUGGGAAAGGAAGAGUUGGGAAAAUGAGAGCCCACAGCCAGGACAGCCCAGCCACCCUCCCCAUAAGGAAACCCUCAAACCAACAUGGCAACAGCAGGCAUCUGCACUGGACCUAAAGAUGCUUCCUGACCCUGUCGUGGCAGGAGGGAGAGGAGGGGAAUGGAGCAAUAGAGCACACCUACCCCCACUCCUUGGAAUAUUACGCAGCCGACAAUCAUGUGAGAACAAGCUCCAUGUGAGAUCAGUGGGCAGUCUUCAAGAUGUUUUGGAGAGAAAGGAGCCUGACAGAGCGAAUGGCACGUGCUGAUUUGGAGGGAACAGAUAGAAGCUCACGAUGUAGUGUGAGCUGAAGCUGAAGGCCCUGGAUGCCUGGAGGGAAGAGAACCAGGUAGGAGAUGGGCUGGGAGGGACUUUCCCAUCCCACAACCCUCCCCUAAUGCGCAGUCAAUACAUUAGUGAAAACUGU
ensembl:lncRNA